UAAUUCUCCUGCCUCAGCCUUCCGAGAAGCUGGGAUUACAGUCUACUCAAGGUGAAGAUGACAAGGAUGAAGACCUUUAAGAUGAUCCACUUCUAGUUAAUGAAGAAUUACAAAACACUUUAAUGUUCAUCACUGUACUUUAAUGCUCACAGCUACCCCAGAAAGUAAUUACCAUAAGAAAACCAGGGCAAGAUUAUUAUUCCUAUCUUCAUGUUGAGGAAAUUGGGACUCAGAGAGUUCAAGUAAUUUGCCCAGGAUCACACAGCUAGCAAGAGGAAGAGCCAGGAUUUCAACCUAGAAAUUACUCUCUGGACCCAUUUUAUCACCAUUGUGGCAGCCUGAAAUGCUAGAGAAUGAACAGCUGCUCCCAACAUCCUCCACCCAGCUGAAGGAACACAGA
rnacentral:lncRNA from 1 species